GUGCCAAGCAGCCGCGGUAAAACCAGCACCUCAAGUGGUCAGGAUGAUUAUUGGGCCUAAAGCAUCCGUAGCCGGCUCUGUAAGUUUUCGGUUAAAUCUGUACGCUCAACGUACAGGCUGCCGGGAAUACUGCAUAGCUAGGGAGUGGGAGAAGUAGACGGUACUCGGUAGGAAGUGGUAAAAUGCUUUGAUCUAUCGAUGACCACCUGUGGCGAAGGCGGUCUACUAGAACACGUCCGACGGUGAGGGAUGAAAGCUGGGGGAGCAAACCGGAUUAGAUACCCGGGUAGUCCCAGCUGUAAACUAUGCAAACCCAGUGAUGCAUUGGCUUGUGGCCAAUGCAGUGCUGCAGGGAAGCCGUUAAGUUUGCCGCCUGGGAAGUACGUACGCAAGUAUGAAACUUAAAGGAAUUGGCGGGGGAGCACCACAAGGGGUGAAGCCUGCGGUUCAAUUGGAGUCAACGCCAGAAAUCUUACCCGGAGAGACAGCAGAAUGAAGGUCAAGCUGAAGACUUUACCAGACAAGCUGAGAGGUGGUGCAUGGCCGUCGCCAGCUCGUGCCGUGAGAUGUCCUGUUAAGUCAGGUAACGAGCGAGAUCCCUGCCUCUAGUUGCCACCAUUACUCUCAGGAGUAGUGGGGCGAAUUAGCGGGACCGCCGCAGUUAAUGCGGAGGAAGGAAGGGGCCACGGCAGGUCUGUGAUGCCC
rnacentral:rRNA from 1 species